CUACGGAGGAUCCGAGCGUUAUCCGGAUUUAUUGGGUUUAAAGGGUGCGCAGGCGGGAGAUUAAGUCGGCGGGGAAAUUUUGGAGCGCAACUGGAAAAGUGCCUUAGCAACUGGUUUUCUUGCGUGUAGAUGAAGCAGGCGGAAUUUGUGGUGUAGAGGGGAAAUGCAUAGAUAUCACGAGGAACUCCGAUUGCGCAGGCAGCUUACUAAACUACUACUGACGCUCAGGCACGAAGGCGUGGGGAUCAAACAGGAUUAGAUACCCUGGUAGUCCACGCAGUAAACGAUGAUUACUAGCUGUUUGCGAUACAAUGUAAGCGGCUGAGCGAAAGCGUUAAGUAAUCCACCUGGGGAGUACGUUCGCAAGAAUGAAACUCAAAUGAAUUGACGGGG
rnacentral:rRNA from 1 species